rnacentral:lncRNA from 1 species
GACUCAGUCCUCCAGGUAUCCUCCCAUUUAGAUGGGUUCUCCGCCAAAGUCGACAAUAGCUGAUCAAAACACUCAAGUGACGGACCUUCCUCCAGCUGUCAUUAACGCGAACAUCGUUUAAGCCAUAUCCGUCAACGUUGCGCACAUCGAAUUCCUCCAAUGCCGGUGCCAAAUCCUACUCAAAAUAUACCAACGCAAUAGUCAGGGGUUCUUUGAAGUUGCUCGCCAGUUGCUCUGUCGGCGAUGCUCUUCCUCCUGAUCAGCUCGAUGGGAGCGGGGCGCGCGCCUGCAGGCGGCCAGGUGAGCGGGGGACCGAGAGAGCCGCCCUCAAACUUUGCCUCGACGCAAAUCUCUCGUUUCGCCCCGGCUGGAACGACGGGGCUGCGGCGCACGGACGGAAAAGACGCGGCACGCAGUUUGCAUCGUCGCGCCUGGAAUGACAGCGCGCCUUCUCCUACAUUGUUGGAAAAAAGAAAGAGUCGGCGUGGAGGAUGCUCGGCUCUCUGGAGCACGGAGGAGACAAGGAGACAGGUCACCGCUGGCGGGGGGUCCUCAUCGUCGCGUCUCGGGAGGCGCGGAGGGCGCCCGGCGUGAAAGCUGCCACUCACGCUCAGGUGUGGGCUAAACAAGGUCUGGUUCUCUUCACUGCACAAACUGUGCAAACCAGUCAGUGCGGUCACAGAGGUACACGUGUGAAUCCGAGAGGUGAGUGUUUAUUCAUGCAUUCAUCCAUUAUUCUAACAGCUUUUCUUCAUAUUAAUCCGUCGGACAGGAAGUAGGUGUGCACCAU